rnacentral:rRNA from 1 species
GCUUAACGCGAAGAACCUUACCAGGUCUUGACAUCCCUCUGAAUACGCUAGAGAUAGCGUAGGCUCUUCGGAGACAGAGGAGACAGGUGGUGCAUGGCUGUCGUCAGCUCGUGUCGUGAGAUGUUGGGUUAAGUCCCGCAACGAGCGCAACCCUUAUUGUUAGUUGCCAGCGGUUCGGCCGGGCACUCUAAUGAGACUGCCGGUGACAAACCGGAGGAAGGUGGGGAUGACGUCAAGUCAUCAUGCCCCUUAUGACCUGGGCUAUACACGUGCUACAAUGGCCGGUACAGCGCGCAGCGAACCUGCGAGGGUAAGCAAAUCGCUUAAAACCGGUCUCAGUUCGGAUCGGAGUCUGCAACCCGACUCCGUGAAGUCGGAAUCGCUAGUAAUCUCGGGUCAGCAUACCGAGGUGAAUACGUUCCCGGGUCUUGUACACACCG